rnacentral:tRNA from 1 species
UAUUUAAAUAGCUUAUAUAAUUAGAGUAUAACAUUGAAGAUGUUAGGGAGAUUUGUUAAUCUUUAAAUAA